rnacentral:pre_miRNA from 2 species
CUGUGCAUGGUGGAGAAGCAGGGCACGUGCAUUACCAUCCAAUGCCGCCAUGCCCGGCCGCUCCAUGCUCCUCCCCCUCCUCUGAUGAGCUGAGCUCACCAACCUUUGUGGAUCCAUGGAUGGAUGGAUGGUUCUUCAUGUGCCCAUCUUCUCCACCGAGCACAA